CGGGGGGGUGAUAAAGUUCUGGCACUUACAGCAUUAAGCACCUUACACUCAGACUAAUGCACUUUAUUAAGAUAGAGGUUUUUUUCCUUUUUUCUUUUUCGAGAAGAUUUACUUGUAUAUUUAUGUGGUAUGCUUCAGAAAUAUUACCACAUAUAUAUACUGUGUGUGUGUGUGUGUGUGUGUGAAUCAGAACUGGAGUUUGUGCUGGGAGGAAAUGGUGGCGAUUGGGGGACCAUUGCGUGUUUCAGUUCAGACAUUAUCAGAAAAACAAAUCCUCUCUUUAAAGACAAACACUGUUGUUUUUUAUAUACAUAUAUAUAGAUAUAUAUAAAGUUUCUAUUAAAAAAUGUAAAGCUAUUAUAAAAAAAAACUUUGAUUAUAAAACUUGAAGAUUUGCACUCACAUAAAAUGCAAGUUAAAAAGAUAAAAAAAAAGCGUUAGAUAUAAUAGAGAUGAAUAUUUUUGUGAUUGCGUGCCUGUGUGUGUAUGUCUAUACACGCAUGUUUGUUUGAGACGGAUGAGAGUGUGUGUGCGCGCAUGAGCGUUUAAAACAUACCAGUCUGCACAAUGUAUUUUUUUUUAACGCUUAGUUAGACGUAUGAUCAAAAGAGGCCAUUUCGUCAUUCAGAGUGAUUUUUUUUUCUCCUUUUUUUUUUUUUUUUAACAUGAACCGAAUGUGUGAAUGCUUGUGUACAAGAGGUACUGUGUGUAUUACUCCUCUUGUAAAUGUGCAGUAUGCGAGCGAAUGAAUGAAUGAAUGAAUGAAAGAAAGACAGAGAGAGGGGGGGCAACGGCACAACACAUCCUCUUUCACCAGCCCUUCUAUUCCCCAACAAAAAAGACCUCUAGAUUCAAACACAAAAGCUUUAGCCCAUUUUACGCCAACCAGCACUCUUAGUUUUCUUGGUGGGGAGUGCGAGAGACGUCUUUUCCUGCCUCCGCUGCCUCAUCUUUGCCUCUGUGAGGUUUAAGAACAUGUCAUUAGCAUCAUUGUUUUGUUUAUGUGUUGUUGAAGAGCUCAAUCUUGUAUACCUUUAGGAAACGGUUACUUGUGGUACGUUGCGUUGCGUGUGUGUGUGGUUUUUUUCUGUCCCCACAUGUGUGCCUAAGAACUAAAGGGCGAAUGAUUAGACUUCAUUGCUGCCAUUGAGACAUUAUUUUUUAGCAAAGGGGCACGGUUUCCUUUGGAAGGCUCCGCCCCCUACAUGCCUCCCAUGCUUAUGAACCAAGAGCCUAUCUCUGUACAGUUCUAUUGUAGCCUGGGGAUGCUUGGAUAAAAAAAAAAAAAGUUUGAUAUUUGGAGGAUGUGACCUAACAUUGCCUUUCUGUCCACUCUCUUGCUCUCGAGUGACUGAGGUUUUGACUAUUUCUGGCUGAAAAAAAAAGAAAAGAAAAAAAAAAGAUCGCAACAAACUGUGCAAGUGCACUCAACAGUGCACAAAAUGUUUGUAUAUUUUGUUACUUGUUCAUUGUUGUUGUCGGCGACAAUGAUGGUGAUUUAUUUUUUCUUUUAAUGUUAUAUAUGAUUAUAUAUGAAUCUAUGAAUAUAAACAAAGUAUUGGACUACAAAGGAAGAGCACUUGGGGCUGCUACUUUUUUUGUUAGUUUUGAAAUUUUUCCUUGGAUUUUUUUUUUUUUUUUUUUUUUUUUAGUUGCCACCAUGUGAAGUGCAUUUGUGUACUUUUUUUUCUUUCCUUCUUGAAAAAAAAAAUGUUGAAUGUAUUCCAAAAAUGUAACGGUGUAGAUGGAGUUGCUCAACACAGGAUAUUAAAGCGUAAUCGGCGGGACAUCAUCAGGAGCAAAAUCGAAAAAGGCUACCACAAAAACACACUGCCUCUACAAUCCUGUUCAUACAGACUUUGACUAUGAAAACGAGAACUUAAAAGAUAUUCUAUUCCAUACUGGAGUUUUGGUUGUUUACAAACCUCACAGACAUUUGUGGGUGCUUUUUCCCCCCAUUAUUUUUGUGGUGAUUUGAAUAUGCGAUUCUGCAGUUGAGAAUCAUUUUGUCGGGGGGGACUUUAAUGGCAUGACGUCAGACCCUUCCUUUUGCAUGUGAGCGCAGCCUAUAUAACUUGCUGACUGAAACAAACUUGGAUCGCUGGAACACAAGUAAUGGAAUUACAUCAAAGAUUUUUUCAUGUACCUUUAUCUUACGGACAGGGUGUGUUUUUAAGAAUCAUAAAGGCGACCAUAUUUGUUUACCGAACUUCUGUUCGUUUGUUUACCUUUUGACUAAUCUUUCUUUGUAAUGGAAUCAAAUUGAUCAUCAAGACAGAAGAAAUGCUUUAUGUACCUGGAAAGAAGGCAAAAAUCAAGACAGCACAGAUGACCUCUUGGUACUGUAAGAUGCAUAUUGAAUGCUUUAACAUUUUUCCCUUUUACCCAAUCAUUUUUUUUGGCUUGUGGAUUAUUUUUUGGAUGGACAUAUCUGUGAUGGAUGUUGAUGAGAAGAACAACAAAAGAAACAUACAUGUAUGACCUCAGAUCUGCCAGAUAAUUCCUUGGACAGUGUGAUCGUGUUUUUAUUAUUUAGUUUUUUUUUUUUUUCCCCUCCUCUCUGAGGGGGGACGAGGUGUCAUGACCAUCAUCUUCAUAAAGGGACUAGCACUGCCCUGAUACCCUCACUAUGCACUUUUCCUUUGCUUAAAACUGUGAGGAUCUUUCACUUGGGCUCCGAGAGCGCCGACAGAAUGCAAGACGCCUGCUUUCUGUCAGCAGAUGGACUCUUCGAGAGAUUUUGAAGCCCUUGCAUGAGACUCGUUCUCCUUACGGUGGUUGUUUCUCAGUCUGCUUGAGAACCCCACCACGCAAGCUUUACCGUAUAUGGAUAAGGGAAGUUUCAGACACAUUGGGACUUGUGGAAAAAUCCUUGGAAUUUUCCCAUGGAGGAUUUUCACUGAACAAUGUUGAUAUUUAAGACUAUACGUACAGUCUCCAAACUUGGUUACGAUGUGGAGAUUCAGAAUAGAUUCACUCAACAGUGUUCUCCGUUAUGUAUAAAGGAUUAAACUGCUUGGUCCAGGGUGCUAGCCAAUGCUUCUUUUUUUUUUCUUGCUUUUUUGUGGACUGGAAUAUUUUGUCGAUGACUGAAAAAUACUUAAAGAAAAAAAAAAAAGACUGGAGGACAGUUUUUUUUUUUGUAUUGGAGACAAAGAACCAAUAAGCUUUAUCAGCUCUAUCGCCACCUGCUGACUGCAUGGCUGAAGUUGUAUCACCUUUGGCUUGAAGUGGUUACCGUGCUACAAGUACAUCUGUUUGAUCUUUGCUGUUCCAGAUCUUCAGAUGAAGACGGAGGCUCUCCAGUGCUUCGUGUUGCAUCUCCACUUCCUCUUAAUUCCUGCCUUUUAUCCUUCAGAGAAAGAUCCAAGGUCAGGAAUUUCAAACAGCACGUGAAAUGAUGACUGCAUGACAAGAACUAAAAGCCCCGGGAGAAGCGGAGGCCUGCAGUGUCAUUACACCGUAUUCGGACUACUCAGAGGGAACGUGUUUCCUUGCUAGGAGGAGGGAGUGAACUGUGAACGCUGGAACAGCGAACUAUGAGAUCUCGAACCUGCACAGAAUAGUUCUGCUCGAGUGCAGCCAGGGUCAAACACUGCACACAUAUUAAUAACUGAAAUACACCUGCAUACACACACAUCCAAAAUAUGAAUUGUUGAUAUUACAUACACUCACUGACAUGGCUUAACACAGUUCCACUACACUUCAUCUCUGGCUGCAAUGUAAAUAAUGUAUAUAAGCCUAAACCUUUUCCCUUUCUCUGUUGGGUUUCAGUUUUGACUUUUUUUUUUUUUUUUUUUUAUGACAUGCCUUAACUGUUAAGUUUUGCCUAUUAAGGCACACUUAAGAUGAGUAAAAAAAAAGUUAACAGUCAGCGAGACUAGCUCUGUGACAUAAUAGCGUGUGAUUUUUAUUUAAGAAACCCAUGAAACAUUUUUUGAACCUGCAAAAUGAUAUGAAUAAUAUCACAAAUGAUCCCCAUGAAAGACGUGUAAUUAAUUCUUGGUUAUAACUGGGCAAUAUGAUGAUACAACCUAACGAUAAAACUUUUUAAGGCUUUGCAUUUUCAAUACUCAAGGGAAAAUAGUUUGCAGGUCAGAAUUGUGUGUCAAAUGUCUUCAUUGUUUUUAGCUCAAAAUAGACGUGGCUGUGUAGAAGUACUUUUACUAACACAUGCUUGAAUGUCAGCUUCAGAUGUUACUGAGCUAAAGAGCAGAAAGGAUGUGAUUCGUUUGUGGAGGUGCUGCGCUUGUCACUCUCCGAGUACGGUAUUGCCCUUUUUAAGAUGAUUAAUUGUGUAAUGGUGCAGGUCAGAAUAAACUAGAGAUGCCUAAUGUCUUUACUGGUAUGCAAAAAUCCAUGUUUUAAAAUGUUAAUGAUAAAACAAAUGACACAUUUCUCAUAUUUAUUGAUUCAGUGUGUGAAGCAACAAUACCUUAAAGAUUGUCACAGAGCUGUGUGUUCAUGUUAUAAAGUGAUCAACUGAAUGGUAUUGGCUGAUCCUAAAUCAUAAGAUCUUCUACUAGUCAUCCUUCCUAUCACACGCAUCUGAGGUGGAUGUCUUUUGAAAUUUCCACAGAUACAGCAAUUCAAGAAAGGUCAUUAGAAACCAUUUUGACAAUAAUGUUUGGAUAUUCAUUAUGUAAAUAGUUUUUGGGGUUUCUGGUUUGAGGAAAAACAAUAAAUACUUCAGAAUUAAG